GAUGAAGAACGUAGUGAAAUGCUAUAAGUAAUGUGAAUUGCAGAAUUCAGUGAAUCAUCGAAUCUUUGAACGCACAUUGCGCCCCCUGGUAUUCCGGGGGGCAUGCCUGUUCGAGCGUCAUUUCACCACUCAAGCCUCGCUUGGUAUUGGGCAACGCGGUCCGCCGCGUGCCUCAAAUCGACCGGCUGGGUCUUCUGUCCCCUAAGCGUUGUGGAAACUAUUCGCUAAAGGGUGUUCGGGAGGCUACGCCGUAAAACAACCCCAUUUCUAAGGUUGACCUCGGAUCAGGUAGGGAUACCCGCUGAACUUAAGCAUAUCAAUAAGCGGAGGA
rnacentral:misc_RNA from 1 species